UGCUUCUUCUGUCAGCCUUUUCCAGUGUCCCGUCCCUGAAAAGGCGAAUUUCCAUGUAUAUCCGCUCACAGAUUGUGUGGUUUUACUCACUGAUAUCACACCACAUGAUGAAAACAGGUGCUGCUGCUCUAUAAAUACAUGUGUUCUUGCAGGCAGAGGAGGAGGAGGAGGAUGAAGAAGAGCAGUAUUAGUCACUCUGUCUGCUGUAGAUCCCUGGAUUCACAGCCAAACCUUGACCGAAAUACUCCUGAACCGCAGUCGCUCACCCACUGAUGCUGCGACCGGUCACAUCAGGACAAACGCGUUCAAAAACAUGAUUACUGCUUGAUUUUAAAAAAAUAAACUAGCGUUCACCUAAAGGUCUUGAAGAACAGGACAUCAGUAAAGUAUAAGCGCUGAACAUCUCCACUCAUUCUUAUGAACUCAGCGGCUGCAACAGAGAGCUUAAACCAUCCCAAAAAUCCCUUCAAACCCGACUGUCAGUUUAUUGUUUGCCUGCCGAAGUGUCUCCAGAAGUCGGCCGAAGCAAUAAGAAAUCCCAUCUCGUCCAAGACGAGACUCUGUUGUGCUUCAGUAAUGGCUCCUGUGGUGUUUUGUUCUCGGCCGUUGUUCCUCCUCAGUUGUUACACCUCUGGAAGAAAAGCUGAGGCCGCGAAUAGGCUUCUGGAAACAUCUAACACCCAAUAUCUGACUAAGCGCUUCUCCCAUCUCCGUCUGUUGGUGGCUUUAUUCACUUGCAAGCUCACAUCCAUCAGAGGACGGGAAGAUUAAAGCCCUCGCUCAUAUUUCCAGCCCAGAUCCCAUUUCAUACCAAAGAUAGAGUUCCAAGUUCAUUACUAAUGUUUUCCAUCCAGAGGUUUUUUGCUAACUGACAAAAACGCUGUCAGCAACAUGGAUUAUUUCCAUAGGAUUCACGAUACUUAAUUUGACCAAAAAGAAAAAUGGUGGACUUUUGUUCUUUUAGUAAUUGAUCAGCUGGUGAAACUUGGGCGUUUUGUACCAGGAUGGACAUUAUAAAAGGGAUUGGUGACGUCAACCAAAAAGCACAAAUUGUUUUGGAUCAAAUUGUGUAAAAUAAAAAGGUCUAUUUAGAUUUCAUGUUGACUUGAGCUACAGCUACAGGAAGUGUUCAAUCCAGCAGAUCUGUUUCAAAUUCAAGUUGACUUGUCUAUUGAGCCAUAGGAAAAAAUGUCUGCUUCUCCAUUUGUCUGAAAAGGUGUCUGUUUCUCUCUGUCCAAAACAAGUAUAUACCUGUCCAUUUGCCACUCUGUCUAGUCUGUCUGAAUAAGUAUCUGUGUCCAUCUGAAAAAGUGUCUCCGUCUAAAAUAGUAUGUCGGUUUGUCUUCUCAUCUUUCUACAAAUAAGUCUCUCUGUCCAUCUGAAAAAGUGUCUGUUUGAUAAAGUCUGUCUGUCUGGAAAAAAAUCUGUCUGUCUCCGUCCAAAAAAGGAUCUCUCCAUUUGCUUUCUGUCCAUCUGAAAAAAGAGACAGUUUAAAAAAAUUAUAUCUCAAAAAAUGAUGUCUGUCCAUCUGAAAAUGUGUGUGUGUGUUGGUCAGUCUGUCUGUCCAGUUGUCUCAAAAGAAAAUGUCUGAAUUAUCUUUGUCUGUUUCUCUGUCUGAAAUAAGUAUUUUUCUACCUAUCCAUUUAUCUAAAUAUAUAUAUAUAUAUGUCUGUUGGAAAGCACUUGUCUGUUUGUCUGAAAAGAAAAAGUGAUUGUAAAUUGCCUGUCCAUUUGUAGAAAUAACUUGUUUGUGUCUAGAAAGUGUCUAGUUCUGGUGCAUCAUGGGAGUGGCCAGUCACUUGAGUGACUCUGAUUGGUGGAUCUAUCUUCGGGACUGUAGAAACAUGCAUCACUGAACAAGCUCAUUAUCAUACAAAUAAGAAGCAAAUAUUUUGUUUCUGUAGUAUCUGAUUGAAAUAAAGGAGCUGGUUCUCUAGAGAGUGUAAUUUGGCUUGUUAUUACAGAGGUUUGGUCUUGUGCGUGUGAGGCGGUACAUCCUGGCGUGUGUGAUUAUCUCUUCAGCGUGGAGAACAGCACCAUCUGUUUGGGUGUUCGCU